GAUCAAGAUCUGGUCAGAUCUGAAUUUGUAGAAUUAAACCAGGAGCUUGGAGACGAAUUUUUGAAUGAAACCAACUGGGGGAUAAUUGGUUUAUACCAUGGUGAUAACCGAGAGAGGCAAUUGCUAUGUUGUGAUGCACUCAUGCCUCUACUAGAUGCGAACAAUUCCGGAGAAGAAGAAGAAGAAGUGGAAUCGGAUCGGAAGAUUAUUUAUAUUGUUGGAAUUCUUAUAUUGAUGGAGUUGACGAAGUCCGGGGACAAAUAAGCCAAGGCAAGCCAUCUUUUGAUCUCUGAUUCGGUGUCUAGUUGGAUGUCAUUUGUUGAUGUCCAAAGCACCUUAACUCUGUGUGUUAUUCUCUCUAUUUAUGUCA